UACAGAGGCCCCAAGCGUUACUGAGAAUCACUGGGUUUAAAGGGUGCGUAGGUGGCGCGUUAAGUCCGUUGUGAAAGCCCUGGGCUCAACCCAGGGACUGCUUCGGAUACUGGCGCGCUUGAGGCUAGUAGGGGUCACUGGAACUGACGGUGGAGCGGUGAAAUGCGUAGAUAUCGUCAGGAACGCCAAUGGUGAAGACAGGUGACUGGGCUAGUUCUGACACUGAGGCACGAAAGCGUGGGGAGCGAACGGG
rnacentral:rRNA from 1 species